GACAGAGGGUGCAAACGUUGUUCGGAAUUACUGGGCGUAAAGCGCACGUAGGCGGACUAUUAAGUCAGGGGUGAAAUCCCGGGGCUCAACCCCGGAACUGCCUUUGAUACUGGUAGUCUCGAGUCCGGAAGAGGUGAGUGGAAUUCCGAGUGUAGAGGUGAAAUGCGCAGAUAUCAGGAAGAACACCCGUGGCGAAGGCGGCUCUCUGGGACGUGACUGACGCUGAGGCGCGAAAGCGUGGGGAGCAAACAGG
rnacentral:rRNA from 1 species